CUCUUUUAACCAUGCAGCCCUCAUUCAAUUUCUUAAAAUCAUGAAAUAUAUUGCAUUUCUGCAGUAUUUUAAUAAAAUAUAGUACAACGGUAACUCUGAAUAUGGACAUUUUGUAAUGGUAACCAGACUUAUUGCAUAUAUUUAGAACAAGUGCCCCCUCAAUGAUGCUUAGGAAACAAUACACAGGAGGCUUGAUAGUUGAUAUAGAAAUUAAAGUAGUUAUUUGAUUGAAACUGGUAGCUAUUUCAAUUCUACUGUCAGUAUCUCCUUUUAUAUAUAAUUGGAUUAAUUGCCAAUAUAUUCACAUAGUAUAAUAGUUUGGAAAUGGAAUCAAUACUUGUAUAUUUUUAGCAAAUGAGCAUUGUUAUUGAUCAACAAUGACUCUUAUUGCUAUAAACAACAUUGUUUCACAUAGCACAUACAGUAGCAACAGACAAGGAAACAUCUGUAUUUAAAUUCACUACUUAUUUUUAUCCAGACACAAAUUGAUGUAAAAAUUGUUUCAGGUUUGGCUUAGUUAUAGCCUUACAUCAGGCUAUUCCAUUUAAUAUCCAUACCCCCCCUGUCGAGGAUCCCUGAAAUUCUUCAGGGGUAAAGGGUUUUGAGCUUGGAAUUCUUCAGGGGUAAAGUGUUUUGAGCUUGGAAUUCUUCAGGGGUAAAGUGUUUCGAGUUUGGAAUUCUUCUGGGGUAAAGGGUUUUGAGCUUGGAAUUCUUCAGGGGUAAAGGGAUUUGAGCUUGGAAUUCUUCAGGGAUAAAGGGUUUUGAGCUUGGAAUUUUGGAAUUCUUUGAACAGGGGUAAAAGGUUUUGAGCUUGGAAUUCUUCAGGGGUAAAGGGUUUUGAGCUUGGAAUUUUGGAAUUCUUCAGGGGUAUAACCAUGAAAAACAUGUAUUCUCGACAGGGGGUGUACGGAUAUUAAAUGGAAUAGCCCAUCAUGCUGUCAAGUGGCAAUCACUUACAAAGCAAAUCUAUAACCAAAUG